rnacentral:rRNA from 1 species
CCUACGGGAGGCAGCAGUGGGGAAUAUUGGACAAUGGGCGAAAGCCUGAUCCAGCAAUGCCGCGUGUGUGAAGAAGGUCUUCGGAUUGUAAAGCACUUUCGACGGGGACGAUGACGACAGUACCCGUAGAAGAAGCCCCGGCUAACUUCGUGCCAGCAGCCGCGGUAAUACGAAGGGGGCUAGCGUUGCUCGGAAUGACUGGGCGUAAAGGGCGCGUAGGCGGUUUAUGCAGUCAGAUGUGAAAUCCCCGGGCUUAACCUGGGAACUGCAUUUGAGACGCAUAGACUAGAGGUCGAGAGAGGGUUGUGGAAUUCCCAGUGUAGAGGUGAAAUUCGUAGAUAUUGGGAAGAACACCGGUGGCGAAGGCGGCAACCUGGCUCGAUACUGACGCUGAGGCGCGAAAGCGUGGGGAGCAAACAGGAUUAGAUACCCCUGUAGUC